rnacentral:rRNA from 1 species
UACGUAGGGUGCAAGCGUUAAUCGGAAUUACUGGGCGUAAAGCGUGCGCAGGCGGUUAUGUAAGACAGAUGUGAAAUCCCCGGGCUCAACUUGGGAACUGCAUUUGUGACUGCAUAGCUAGAGUACGGUAGAGGGGGAUGGAAUUCCGCGUGUAGCAGUGAAAUGCGUAGAUAUGCGGAGGAACACCGAUGGCGAAGGCAAUCCCCUGGGCCUGCACUGACGCUCAUGCACGAAAGCGUGGGGAGCAAACAGG